GCAGGUCUGUAAAGCCAAAUACGAAGGGAGCUUAAGAAGAAGAGAGUAGUGGAGCUUAAGAGAUCUUUGGAGAAAUCCGAAGAUUCAAUUGAGUUAGUUGCAUAACUAUCUUCUUGUUUAAGCGAAGAUUAUGUCACAUGGACUUUGACACUAUAAGGUCAAAAAUUAGCGACCAAACAAUUAAUAUAGUGAUGGAUCUUUUCAGAGACAUGCUUCUCCUGGCCAACAAUGCUUUAGUCUUCUAUAGUAAGGAACACCGUGGACACCCGUCGUACCGUGGUGUGCACGAUCUAUUAGCCAAGUAUUGACUUAUUUGACGCUUUUGAUGAGAUGCUACUUCUGAAGUUAGGAGGGGAGCAAAUAUACGUCAGUCCAAUAAGAGACCAUGCCGAUUUGAUCCAGUACUUUGAGGUCCAGGAUAUGAAUGCAGAUUAAUAAUGCUAAGUGGUUUUAUAUAGCUGAGACACAUUGAGAAUGUUUGAUUUUGUUAUUUGGAUUUUGUAUUUUUAGUGGAUUGUUUUGGGUAUUAUUAAAUUUAUUAUAGUAUAUCACAACA